rnacentral:lncRNA from 1 species
AUCCCAUCAUUAAUCUAUGCCAUGGCCUUUAGCAUUUAUCUGUGCUAUGUGUAACCAGCACCCAUCAGAUCUCACUGCUGCUGUUUCUCUUUCUCCAGGCCAGGAAAGAUGCUGGGCUCCACAGCUUCCUUUUCUGUUGACUGGCAAGAUGGUGCUUUGUCAGCAAGAAGACCUAGAAGACUUACGGAAAGAUAAAACGCUUCCAUGUAGCUUUCACCUGCUAAUAGCACUUCUAUCAUUGCAAGAUCUGGCAAGAGAGUCAAACACCACAUUUUCCCAGAGGUAUGCAAAGCAUGCAGAGCUGACGGAAAGAUUAACAAGUUUUCUGUGGAAGGGGCGUACAUCUGCUGGGGUGAGGAGAGCCUUCGCUGAUGUGCCACUUGUAAAUGCGUAUGAACUCUGUAAUAGGUGCGGCGCCUUCGCUCAACAGCUGCAGUCUUUUCAUUGUACCUCUUUUGUUGAAUCCAGAUAA